rnacentral:rRNA from 1 species
UGGGGAAUUUUGGACAAUGGGCGCAAGCCUGAUCCAGCCACGCCGCGUGCGGGAAGAAGGCCUUCGGGUUGUAAACCGCUUUUGUCAGGGAAGAAAGUCUUCUGAGUUAAUACCUCGGGAGGAUGACGGUACCUGAAGAAUAAGCACCGGCUAACUACGUGCCAGCAGCCGCGGUAAUACGUAGGGUGCAAGCGUUAAUCGGAAUUACUGGGCGUAAAGCGUGCGCAGGCGGUUUUGUAAGACAGAGGUGAAAUCCCCGGGCUCAACCUGGGAACUGCCUUUGUGACUGCAAGGCUUGAGUGCGGCAGAGGGGGGAUGGAAUUUCCGCGUGUAGCAGUGAAAUGCGUAGAUAUGCGGAGGAACACCGAUGGCGAAGGCAAUCCCCUGGGCCUGCACUGACGCUCAUGCACGAAAGCGUGGGGAGCAAACAGGAUUAGAUACCCUGGUAGU